rnacentral:rRNA from 1 species
AUUGAACGCUGGCGGCAGGCCUAACACAUGCAAGUCGAGCGGUAGAGGGGAGCUUGCUUCCCUUGAGAGCGGCGGACGGGUGAGUAAUGCCUAGGAAUCUGCCUGUUAGUGGGGGAUAACGCGGGGAAACUCGCGCUAAUACCGCAUACGUCCUACGGGAGAAAGCGGGGGCUCUUCGGACCUCGCGCUAACAGAUGAGCCUAGGUCGGAUUAGCUAGUUGGUGGGGUAAUGGCUCACCAAGGCGACGAUCCGUAACUGGUCUGAGAGGAUGAUCAGUCACACUGGAACUGGGACACGGUCCCGACUCCUACGGGGGGCAGCAGUGGGGAAUAUUGGACAAUGGGCGAAAGCCUGAUCCAGCCAUGCCGCGUGUGUGAAGAAGGUCUUCGGAUUGUAAAGCACUUUAAGUCGGGAGGAAGGGCUGUAGGCUAAUACCUUGCAGUUUUGACGUUACCGACAGAAUAAGCACCGGCUAACUUCGUGCCAGCCGCCGCCGUAAGAC